rnacentral:tRNA from 1 species
GCGGCCCGUGGCGAGGUCGACGGCGCUGAGGGUGUGCUCCACGUUGAGGUACAGGCCGUUCCGGUCGACCGCGCCGCU